rnacentral:ncRNA from 2 species
UAGCGUGCACGGUGCCGUGGUGUUCGGGAAGCCGGUUCAAUGCCGGCGCGGCCCUCGCCACUGUAACCGUCGAGUUGACGGUCCUUGCGGCAUCCGAACGUGGAUGCCGGACCACUGGGAGCAAUCCCGGGAAGGUCGGCCGGAGACGCUGAGACGGAAGCCAGGAGACCGGCCACGGCGCGUCAUGUUCC